AGAGUUUGAUCCUGGCUCAGGAUGAACGCUGGCGGCGUGCUUAACACAUGCAAGUCGAACGAUCCUUCGGGAUAGUGGCGGACGGGUGAGUAACGCGUGGGAAUCUGCCCUCAGGAGGGGGAUAACGGCUGGAAACGGCCGCUAAUACCCCAUAUGCCGAGAGGUGAAAUGAAUUUCGCCUGAGGAUGAGCCCGCGUCUGAUUAGCUAGUUGGUGGGGUAAAGGCCUACCAAGGCGACGAUCAGUAGCUGGUCUGAGAGGAUGAUCAGCCACACUGGGACUGAGACACGGCCCAGACUCCUACGGGAGGCAGCAGUGGGGAAUUUUCCGCAAUGGGCGAAAGCCUGACGGAGCAACGCCGCGUGAGGGAUGAAGGCCUCUGGGCUGUAAACCUCUUUUCUCAAGGAAGAAGAACUGACGGUACUUGAGGAAUAAGCCACGGCUAAUUCCGUGCCAGCAGCCGCGGUAAUACGGGAGUGGCAAGCGUUAUCCGGAAUUAUUGGGCGUAAAGCGUCCGCAGGCGGCCUUGUAAGUCUGUUGUUAAAGCGUGGAGCUCAACUCCAUUUAAGCAAUGGAAACUACAAGGCUGGAGUGUGGUAGGGGCAGAGGGAAUUCCCGGUGUAGCGGUGAAAUGCGUAGAUAUCGGGAAGAACACCAGUGGCGAAGGCGCUCUGCUGGGCCAUAACUGACGCUCAUGGACGAAAGCCAGGGGAGCGAAAGGGAUUAGAUACCCCUGUAGUCCUGGCCGUAAACGAUGAACACUAGGUGUCGGGGGAAUCGACCCCCUCGGUGUCGUAGCCAACGCGUUAAGUGUUCCGCCUGGGGAGUACGCACGCAAGUGUGAAACUCAAAGGAAUUGACGGGGGCCCGCACAAGCGGUGGAGUAUGUGGUUUAAUUCGAUGCAACGCGAAGAACCUUACCAGGGUUUGACAUCCUGCGAAUCCCUUGGAAACGAGGGAGUGCCUUCGGGAGCGCAGUGACGGGUGGUGCAUGGCUGUCGUCAGCUCGUGUCGUGAGAUGUUGGGUUAAGUCCCGCAACGAGCGCAACCCACGUCUUUAGUUGCCAGCAUUCAGUUGGGCACUCUAGAGAGACCGCCGGUGAUAAACCGGAGGAAGGUGUGGAUGACGUCAAGUCAUCAUGCCCCUUACAUCCUGGGCUACACACGUACUACAAUGCUACGGACAAAGGGCAGCAAGCUCGCGAGAGUUAGCAAAUCCCAUAAACCGUGGCUCAGUUCAGAUCGUAGGCUGCAACUCGCCUACGUGAAGGAGGAAUCGCUAGUAAUCGCAGGUCAGCAUACUGCGGUGAAUACGUUCCCGGGCCUUGUACACACCGCCCGUCACACCAUGGAAGUUGGCCAUGCCCGAAGUCGUUACUCCAACCCUU
rnacentral:rRNA from 1 species